AUAAUGACUAAAUAAGGUAGUAUUUCAAUAAAAAACCAAUAUACAAUGGCGGUCUUAUUCUCUUAGAGGAACUCGCUCCAUAAUCGUCAACACCCGAUAAUUUUCACUCAUAUUUAAUAGCUUAUAUACCGCCGUUACAGAAUUUAUAAAAUGAUAAAAUUCAACAAAGAAUUACUAAAAAAUCAGGUCAAGGUGUAGUCUAUAAAUGAGAGAGAGUAAGUUACAUUAAAAAUUAUUUAAGGAUUAUCAUCCAAAGAAACAAAGAAAAAGAAUCUAAUUACAAGUUCAAGUCAAAACCUCGAACAUAAACAUCAAAAUAAGACGC
rnacentral:rRNA from 1 species